GGCGAAUGUACCCAAGUGGCUUAAGGCAGU
rnacentral:tRNA from 1 species